GGUCAAGAUACAAAGGGCGUAUGGGGAAUGACUAGGCACUAAGAGGCGAUGAAGGACGUGGUAGCCUGCGAUAAGCUUCGGGCAGCCGGCAACAGGCGUUACGACCCGGAGAUUUCCGAAUGGGGAAACCCGGCGGGUUUGACUACCCGCCAGACAUGGCUGAAUGCAUAGGCCAUGAUCAGCGAAAUGCAGUGAACUGAACCAUCUUAGUAACUGCAAGAAAAGAAAUCGAAUGAGAUUUCCUGAGUAGCGGCGAGCGAAAAGGAAAAUAGCCCAAACCGACGGCAGCAAUGCAGUCGGGGUCGCGGGAGCUUCUGCUUUAAUGCAACGGAGUUACAAAAUCACACCUAGUUGAACGGCAUGGGAAGGCCGACCACAGAAGGUGAGAGUCCUGUAAGCGAAAGGUGAUGAUCUCCGGAAGAAUUCCCAAGUACUGUCAGAUAAGAGGAACCUGGCAGGAAUUUAGGGGGCCCACCCUCUAAGGCUAAAUACUACUUAGUGACCGACAGUGAACCAGUACCGCGAGGGAAAGUUGGAAAGAUCCCCGGGA
rnacentral:rRNA from 1 species